GGUAUCCUGACCGUGCUAAGGUAGCAUAAUCAUUUGCCUCUUAAUUGGUGGCUAGUAUGAACGGACAAACGAAAAUAAAGCUGUCUCCUUAACAUAAAUAAAAAUUAACCUUCAGGUGAAGAGGCCUGAAUUCUAUAGAAAGACAAAAAGACCCUAUGGAGCUUUAUUUAAACCUAUUGAUUUAUAAUAUUUUAUAUAAUAAACCCCAAUAAUUAAAAUUUAGUUGGGGCGACUAAGGAAAAUAAUAAAUCUUCCUUCAAUGCUAAGAAAAUAACUCACUUACUGAUCCACUUACGUGAAUAAAAAAUCAGCUACCCUAGGGAUAACAGGCUAAUUCUUCUCGAGAGCCCAAAUUGACAGAAGAGAUUGGCACCUCG
rnacentral:rRNA from 1 species